UACGGGGGGAGCAAGCGUUGUUCGGAUUUACUGGGCGUAAAGGGCGCGUAGGCGGUCAGCACAAGUCAGUUGUGAAAUCUCCGGGCUUAACUCGGAAAGGUCAACUGAUACUGUGCGACUAGAGUGCAGAAGGGGCAACUGGAAUUCUCGGUGUAGCGGUGAAAUGCGUAGAUAUCGAGAGGAACACCUGCGGCGAAGGCGGGUUGCUGGGCCGACACUGACGCUGAAGCGCGAAAGCUAGGGAGCGAACGGG
rnacentral:rRNA from 1 species